rnacentral:rRNA from 1 species
UUUGCCCAUAUUCCUACGGGAAGCAGCAGUGAGGAAUUUUUCACAAUGGACGAAAGUCUGAUGGAGCAAUACCAUGUGAACGAUGAAGGUCUUCUGAUUGUAAAGUUCUUUUAUUUAGGAAAAAAAGCUUGAUAGGAAAUGAUUAAGCCUUGAUUGUACUAAAUGAAUAAGUGACAGCUAACUAUGUGCCAGCAGCUGCGGUAAAACAUAGGUCACGAGCAUUAUCCGGAUUUAUUGGGCGUAAAGGAAGCGUAGGCGGACAAAUUGAUCUAUUGUUAAAGGCACUUGCUCAACGAGUUGUUCGUGAUAGAUAUCGUUUGUCUAGAAUUAGUUAGGAGAUACUGGAAUUCAAUGUGUAGCGGUGGAAUGCGUAGAUAUAUUGAGGAACACCAGAGGCUAAGGCGAGUAUCUAGGACAUAAUUGACGCUGAGGCUUGAAAGCGUGGGGAGCAAAUGGGAUUAGAUACCCCAGUAGUCCACGCCGUAAACGAUGGGUAUUAGGUAUUUGGUCUAGGACUGAGUGCUGUAGCUAACGCGUUAAAUACCCCGCCUGGGUAGUAUAUAUGCAAAUAGAAUUCAAAA